rnacentral:rRNA from 1 species
GACGAACGCUGGCGGCGUGCUUAACACAUGCAAGUCGAACGAUGACGCCCGAGCUUGCUCGGUCUGAUUAGUGGCGAACGGGUGAGUAACACGUGAGCAACCUGCCCUUCACUCUGGGAUAACCUCGGGAAAUCGGGGCUAAUACCGGAUAUGAGCUCCUGUCCCAUGGCGGGUGUUGGAAAGUUUUUCGGUGCAGGAUGGGCUCGCGGCCUAUCAGUUUGUUGGUGAGGUAGUGGCUCACCAAGGCGAUGACGGGUAGCCGGCCUGAGAGGGCGACCGGCCACACUGGGACUGAGACACGGCCCAGACUCCUACGGGAGGCAGCAGUGGGGAAUAUUGCACAAUGGGCGAAAGCCUGAUGCAGCGACGCCGCGUGAGGGAUGACGGCCUUCGGGGUGUAAACCUCUUUCAGCAGGGAAGAAGCGAAAGUGACGGUACCUGCAGAAGAAGCGCCGGCUAACUACGUG